GCGAGACGCCCCACUCACCUGAGUUUCUCCAUGUCUGCGGCAGAGGCCUGCGGGGAACCAAACAGAGGCUCUUCUAAAAGGCCUGUCUGGGGAUUUCUCCUCCAUAGAAGGACUCUAGAAGAGGCUGAUCUGGCAACUGCGGCCCACAUUCCCACGUGGCAACCAUCGGGGAGCUGGAAGCAGUCACCCUCUCCAGAGGCACCUCAGGGGUACCAUUCACACUCAAGUUUGUCCUACAGGCAGUCACCCAGGCCUUCCACGGGACCCACCCCAGGUUGUACCAGAACCAGAAGGUGCAGCCUGAAGAGCCUUGCAGCGUGGGCUGCUCCCCCAGGGCCCUGCAGCCAUUGCAAACAGAGCCUGGCGCACCCGACAUCCAGGCAGGCUUCCUGAAGGAGGUGGAAUUUCAGCUGGGGGCGGGGGUGGGAGAAGGAAUACAAGAGACAGGACUUGGAGACCCUGCCCUGAGCUGUGUAUGUCCCUUGUCCCCAAGCCCCUUGCCUUCAUCUGAGCAUCAUACCACCCCCUAUUUCUCAGGCCCAUACCCCCACCCCCUAUUUCUCAGGCCCAUUUCCUGGUUUUAUUUACUGCGUGCCUCUCACCAUUCUCUGAUUAUUUACGUGUGUACGCUGAUCUCUCCAGCUGGAGUGUGUGCGCCGAGAUCCUGGCGUGGGGGCGGGGAGGUGAGCACACAGUGAAUGGAUGAAUGGGUGGUGGGAAGGAAGGUGGAGGAGGCUGGCGUGACGCACAGCUGCUGGUGGCGGUGGCU